GAAGGUUGGUACUUGUGACCGACUGGAUGAGCAGCGAACGGGUGAGUAACGCGUGGGGAAUCUGCCUUUGAGCGGGGGACAACAUUUGGAAACGAAUGCUAAUACCGCAUAAAAACUUUAAACACAAGUUUUAAGUUUGAAAGAUGCAAUUGCAUCACUCAAAGAUGAUCCCGCGUUGUAUUAGCUAGUUGGUGAGGUAAAGGCUCACCAAGGCGAUGAUACAUAGCCGACCUGAGAGGGUGAUCGGCCACAUUGGGACUGAGACACGGCCCAAACUCCUACGGGAGGCAGCAGUAGGGAAUCUUCGGCAAUGGACGAAAGUCUGACCGAGCAACGCCGCGUGAGUGAAGAAAGUUUUCGGAUCGUAAAACUCUGUUGGUAGAGAAGAACAUUGGUGAGAGUGUAAAUCUCAUCAGGUGACGGGGACUACCCAAAAAGGGACGGCUAACUACAUGCCAUCAGCCGCGGUAAUACUUAUUGUUCCCCCAGCGUUGUCCCCCAUUUUUUAGGGGGGGUAAACC
rnacentral:rRNA from 1 species